GGUCAAGCUACAAAGGGCUCACGGUGGAUACCUUGGCACACAGAGGCGAUGAAGGACGUGGUUACCUGCGAUAAGUCUCGGGGAGCUGGAAACACGCUUUGAUCCGGGAAUUUCCGAAUGGGGCAACCCCUAGAACGGC
rnacentral:rRNA from 3 species